UACGGAAGGCAGCAGUGGGGAAUAUUGCACAAUGGGCGAAAGCCUGAUGCAGCUAUGCCGCGUGUAUGAAGAAGGCCCUAGGGUUGUAAAGUACUUUCAUCGGGGAGGAAAAAACAAAACUAAUAAUUUUAUUUCUUGACGUUACCCGAAAAAGAAGCACCGGCUAACUCCGUGCCAGCAGCCGCGGUAAUACGGAGGGUGCUAGCGUUAAUCAGAAUUACUGGGCGUAAAGAGCACGUAGGUGGUUUUUUAAGUCAGAUGUGAAAUCCCUGGGCUUAACCUAGGAACUGCAUUUGAAACUGAAAUACUAGAGUAUCGUAGAGGGAGGUAGAAUUCUAGGUGUAGCGGUGAAAUGCGUAGAUAUCUGGAGGAAUACCUGUGGCGAAAGCGGCCUCCUAAACGAAUACUGACACUGAGGUGCGAAAGCGUGGGGAGCAAACAGGGAUUAGAUACC
rnacentral:rRNA from 1 species